rnacentral:lncRNA from 1 species
GCACGCCCCGCAACGCAACUCAUAACCAGCUCUCGCGCGCAACAGUCCCGCAGCAACACAGCCACGCAGCAGCUCUCGCGCGCAACGCAGCCACGCAGACAGCAUCCUGCACGCAACCAGCAGUGCGCAACCAGCCCCAAGCCGCGCAGCAAGCUCCAGCCGAGCACGCAACGCAACAAGCGUCACCAGCGCGCGCACCAGCAAUCCCCCAGCGCGCAGCAACAGCCGCAGCACGCAGAUCCAGCGUCACCAGUUCGCA